CAGCAGCCGCGGUAAUACCGGCGGCCCGAGUGGCGGCUACUAUUAUUGGGCCUAAAGCGUCCGUAGCCGGGCUGGUAAGUCCUCCGGGAAAUCUGGUCGCUUAACGAUCAGACUUCCGGAGGAUACUGCUGGCCUAGGGACCGGGAGAGGCCGAGGGUAUUCCCGGGGUAGGGGUGAAAUCCUGUAAUCCCGGGAGGGCCACCUGUGGCGAAGGCGCUCGGCUGGAACGGGUCCGACGGUGAGGGACGAAGGCCAGGGGAGCGAACCGGAUUAGAUACCCGGGUAGUCCUGGCUGUAAACGAUGCGGACUAGGUGUCGGGCAAGCUAAGGGCUUGUCCGGUGCCGCAGGGAAGCCGUUAAGUCCGCCGCCUGGGGAGUACGGCCGCAAGGCUGAAACUUAAAGGAAUUGGCGGG
rnacentral:rRNA from 1 species